rnacentral:rRNA from 1 species
UACGUAGGGGGCAAGCGUUGUCCGGAAUUAUUGGGCGUAAAGCGCGCGCAGGCGGCUACUUAAGUCUGGUGUUUAAACCUUGGGCUCAACCUGAGGUCGCACUGGAAACUGGGUGGCUUGAGUACAGAAGAGGAAAGUGGAAUUCCACGUGUAGCGGUGAAAUGCGUAGAGAUGUGGAGGAACACCAGUGGCGAAGGCGACUUUCUGGGCUGUAACUGACGCUGAGGCGCGAAAGCGUGGGGAGCAAACAGG